ACGGAUCUCUUGGUUCUGGCAUCGAUGAAGAACGCAGCGAAAUGCGAUAAGUAGUGUGAAUUGCAGAAAUUCAGUGAAUCAUCGAAUUCUUUGAACGCACAUUGCGCCCCUUGGUAUUCCAUGGGGGCAUGCCUGUUCGAGCGUCAUUUG
rnacentral:rRNA from 1 species